rnacentral:rRNA from 1 species
GAUCAUGGCUCAGAACGAACGCUGGCGGCAUGGAUUAGGCAUGCAAGUUGAACGAACCACUUCGGUGGAGAGUAGCGGAAGGGUGAGGAACGCGUGAGUAAUCUGCCCCCUAGUUGGGAAUAACAGUUGGAAACGACUGCUAAUACCGGAUGUGGCUUCAAUCCUGCAUGGGAUAGAGGCUAAAGAUUUAUCGCUAGGGGAUGAGCUCGCGUCCCAUUAGGUAGUUGGUGAGGUAACGGCCC